rnacentral:rRNA from 1 species
AUUGAACGCUGGCGGCGUGCUUAACACAUGCAAGUCGAUCGGUAACAGGUGUAGCAAUACAUGCUGACGAGAGGCGGACGGGUGAGGAACGCUUGGGAAUCUGCCUAUCAGCGGGGGACAACCCGGGGAAACUCGGGCUAAUACCGCAUACGCUCUACGGAGGAAAGCCGGGGACCGCAAGGCCUGGCACCGAUAGAUGAGCCCAAGGCGGAUUAGCUAGUUGGCGGGGUAACGGCCCACCAAGGCGACGAUCCGUAGCUGGUCUGUGAGGACGAUCAGCCAAACCGGAACUGAGACACGGUCCGGACUCCUACGGGAGGCAGCAGUGGGGAAUAUUGGACAAUGGGGGAAACCCUGAUCCAGCGACGCCGCGUGGGUGAAGAAGGCCUGCGGGUUGUAAAGCCCUUUCGGUAGGGAAGAAAUCUCUUGCUCUAACAAAGCAGGAGUUUGACUUAACCUACAUAAGAAGCACCGGCUAACUCUGUGCCAGCAGCCGCCGUAAAAC